rnacentral:lncRNA from 1 species
CUUUGGACCUUCAUCUCUUGCCACUUCUCCCCAGGUGUCCUUAUCUCUCAUCACCUGAAGUUACUCCCAGUUUCCUAAAACAUACUGCUUUUAUUCAUGUUGUUCCUGCUUCCUGGUGCCCUGUGACCAUUUACAGAACCCCCAAAUGUAUAUAUGGAGUUACUCUACAUUCUACAAGACCCUCUGUAACAGGAUGUUUUCCCUGGAGGCAUUCACAGAUGUGCCCUGCACUGUCUUUAUUUUCUGUUAGUAUCUUUCUAUUAAUUUUAAAUAUAAUGUGUUCUAAACGUGAACACGUGUUAGUGCAACAUAAACUGAUUUGUUUAAUCAAAUUCCGGAUUCCUUUAACUAGGUGAACAGGAAUGAUAAUGGGCCAAGGGAUUUCCAAAGAACACUUUAUGGACAAAUAUUUAUUCGGUCAGUCUGUUAUUUUAUUAAGGAUUUACCAUAUGCCAAGCAUUUUUUGGAGCAGGUAAAGAAUAAAGAGUUGAACAAGACAGUUUCCUCAUGAAGUUUACAUUCUGAAGAGAAGGGUGGUGGGGAAGAAAGACAUUUUAAAAUAACCAUGUAAUAUUAGUGAGAGAUAGGAAAAAAAAGGAUAAAACAGUGUAACAGGAAGAGUGACAGAGCAUUCAGGAAAGGCCUCUUGAGUGGUAACAUAUGAGCACAGAGCUAAACCAAGUGAGAGUCUCACCAGGCAUGUGAAGUCCCAGGGAAGUUUAAGUGCAAAGGCCCUGUGGCAGGAAUGAGUGCGCUGUGUUCAUGGACCAAUUAGCAGGCCUGUCCAGCUGGAGCAAAGGAAGUUUUUAUACAAUUCAGUGAUGAAUGAAUCUGAGAAACACAGAAAAAGGGAAUAGGAGCCAGCCUUCCUGUUUACGAACUGCACCUGAUGUGACUCGGCAGGAAACUUCCACCAAAACAUACAUAUUCUCCAUAAGCUGGUCAUCCUCCUGUACACUUAAUCUUCUCCCAACCAAUCCUCCCAAAAGAAAAUAAAUAUUUGUAGAUUAAAGGAGAACUGCCUUCUCAUCCUUUACGCUGCUGGUGUGCAAGCUGUUAAGCACAGAGUGUUUAAUUAAUGGAUAGAUACCAUUAGAGAGACAGCUGGACCUGCAUCCAGAUGAGUUUGGAUUCAAGGUGCCAGGAGAUAAAGAUCUGAAAGUGGGAAAGCUGAACUGCAAUUGGGUUCAUUUAUAAAAGAGGCUGUUAAAGGUCAACUGUGUUUUCUUGUGCUAGAGAUAAAGAGAUGCUAUUAAAAACAAUUGGAAAGUAAUUCAUAAGGGAGCACUAAGUCACUCAUGUUAAAUUAAUUUGUCUUUCUGAUAGCAUGGCAUUCAUGAUGGGAAAGUAAAUUUACCCCAAAUCAAGAUCUUUCAAAAACAGCCAUUGAUCAUGUACUCCCUGCAAAGCCACUGGAAUAAACCCCUGUGUGCCGGGACCACUGGUGCUGUGUGAUCACAGCAUCUCCAUAGUUCACUGAAGCCCCUUCCCAGGCUGAGAAUUAACCAAUUAUUCUGAAGGACAGCAAGUGCAGUGACAUUUCUGUGGAUAUGCUGAGAUGCCUGAGCCUGCUGAUGUCUUUCUGUCGCCUCUGAUGAACUAGUGGCCAAGCACCAGAACAACCCAUCGUGCACAAUUCCACUUUUCUGAAAUUCAGCAAUGUAUUAGAACAUUCUAGCCCACUGAGCUCCACUUACAACCCUCCCACCUCUCUGCCAGUACUACAACACACCCCAUGUUCAAACAUACACUUACCAUGAUGAAAACUUUUUAAUUUAUCCAAACAAUAUAUUUACAAUUAUGAAUGGCAGUUUAACUCCACAUAGUGACAUCAAACACUUUCUUUGAUCAUCUCCUCUUCAAGGUAAAGCUUUUCAUUCAAACACUAUCAACUGUUCUCCCCAGUUUCCUGAUGGCAGCACAUGUUAUGACAAAGGGUGAUUGCUUUUAGUGCUCAGAAAUGCCAGCCUAUUAAGACACAUCUUCAUCUUUCUCUGGGCAAGAUAGAGAUUGUGUCUAUUUGCUGCCAUGCAUGGGGAUGAGAGGGGAAAAAUCCACUCCAUCAGAUUGUGAUUCCUGUAGACAUAACCCUGGGUAUGACCAGGUUCUCUCUCUCUCUCUUUGUUGCCAGAGGAAAACUGCUUGUUGCUUCUUUUUCUUUCUUGAGAUUGAAAACUAAUUGGGGUCUUUCUUUAUUUCCUAAAAUCACGGGAAUAAUGAGCAAUUCCCCACAAAGUUCUAUUUAUGAAAAGGUCUGCACUUCCAGGCAUACACUAAUUACAGCCCAGCAUAGCGAGCUGCUCGCCAUUUUCCCAGCAUCAGUCAGGAGUGUCAGCCAAGGAGAGACAAAGAGAGUUACAGGCAGUUAACGUCUCCCAUUUACCACUGCUGAUCAUUUGCAGGUUUUAAUAACAGCUUUGCAAUUCAGAUUCUGCACCAAAAAGGAUUUCCAGGUCAGAUAUCACAGGGUUUCUUCUGAGGCUGCCACCUUUGAAAAACUAGAGGCAUGGACAUGUUCAACAUUAAUUGCGCUAGAAUUGAUGCACCUUGCUCACGUUCAGACUUCACAAACAUGACUUUAACAGCAUGUGCUUUAGGCUGCAGUCAGUGGAGGGAACUCCAGAAAUGCAAGAGGCAAGGUCAUGAAGGCUCCCCUCCUUCAGUGGAAGCUAAUGAGAAAUAGCCCAUCACAGAGGGGUCAAGGAUACCAGCCACAACAACAGCUACCACUUACUGAGUGCCUGCUAUACGUCAUGGACUAGCCCACUUGUUUUACAUACAUUAUCUCAUUUAAUUCCUAACACCACAUUGGGAGAUGGGAAUUAUUAUUUUCAUUCAAGCUUCCCUAAGAUUAAAUGCCUAGUAAACAGAGGAGAUGGGAUGCACUCAUGCUCCUUGCUCUAUGUUAUGUGUCUGAAGUCAUUUGUUGCGAUCCAGAGUUUCCAAUGAAACUAUGAUUUUAGAAAUAACUAAAAUGUUCGAAGUGCACCUUUUUUUGUUUUGUCUGCCCAAACUUCCUCUCAUCUUAAUUUAGCAUCAGCACUCAUGUCUUCUGGGGAAUAUUUCUUCCACCACAUCCAACCAGCCGCAAUGUCUUUACAGACCCUCCACUCCUCUGUCCUCACUGGAUUCGUCCAGGGAUGAACACCUCCCCGAGCAAGGUCACUUCCUAGGACCCCGCCCACCUCCCUAGCAACAACUGUUUGUGAGUGGGCAUGUGAAAGAGUAAUCAUCAUCAUCACCAUCAUAACUAAAAUAUACUCGUGUUUUUAUGUGCCAGACAUUGUAUAUUUAACAACUUUUAUUCUCACAACAAUUCUAUGCUGUUACCGUCCCCAUUUUACAGAGGUAGAGAGAGAAAUACAGAUGGGUAGGUACCUCCCCCAAGGUCAGGUAGCUAGGAAGUCACAAACCUGAGACUUAGUUUGUAUCAAUUAACUAUUGCCUCAAAAAUUCUAGGUUUACAACUCAGCGGCUAAAAACAACAAUCAUUUAUUUUCCCUGGUCUGGGUGUCACAUGAGUGGCAGCUGGGCUCAGCUGUGCAGCUCUGAUGAUCUUGGCUGAGCUCGCUCAUGCAAUUAGGGUGAGCUGGGGGUCAGCAUCUGCAGCCUGGACCAAGCUGGGUGGCUCUGCUCCACAUGCCUCUUAUCCCAUCCUGGGACCUGAGAGCUGGCCUGGGCAUGUCCUUCUCAUGAAAUAGCCAAAGAACAAAAGCAAGGCAGAAGCAGAAGAGGCCUUUGAGGCCGGACACUCUGCUAUCUCCACUUCAUCCAAACAUGAAGUCAAGAGGUGGGAAAUGUAGCCUAUCUUCUGGGGAGAACUUACACAGUGAAAAUCAAAGAAUAAAGAUUCAGGGAGAAAUAAAGAUUUGGGGCCAAUGCCACAAUCUACCUCAUAUCCCCUCUAAUCCUACAGGAAUUUCUCAUCUCAAGCUGGGGAAUUUUUCAGUUCCUGUGGGUAGCAAACAUUAUGAGAUGUGAAGCUCUAAGCCUGUCAGCAUCCACAUUCCCCCGUGUGAGGAGGAAGACAGUCUGCCUUGGUACUGGAGAGCAAUACAGAGACAAAAGACAGAAAGUCUCAGCAUGUCCACAAUCCUGGGACCAGCUGUCCUCCAGCCUCAGCCAUGUCCCUGCCCUUCCUGUCAUUGGGUUGCUCAAGCCUGCUUCUGAGGUCUUCACCCCAAACUCUUUCAAGUUAGUUUGAUUUUCUGUCCCUUGUUACUCAAAAAGUCCUGGGCAACCCAAUUCUCUGUAAUGAAUGAAACAAAUAAUAAACUUCACUAAUUAAUGUUACCAUAUGCAACACCCAACAUGUAUUUUGUGCAUCUACUAUUUGCAAUGAAUUACAUUAGAAACUGGGGGUCACAAAGAAUGGGUAAGAUUGAACUCAUUAUCCCUGUCCUCAAAGAACUCAUAUUCUAGAAGACAUAACACAGCCACAGCUUGCAACACUGCAAAAUGGGCACAAUUUGCUCCGAAAGGGAAGCACAGGAGAGGGUGGGAUUAAAGUCUGAUUUGGGCAGAAACAGGAAUGCCUCGCAGAAGAGUUGGUGUGGGCUGUCAGAUUCAAGAAGAUGAAUUUCUACAAUCAGAGAAGAGAAAAGGGGUGGGUGGCAGUGAGAGGCUUUGGGUUGGGGGAGGAUGGUGAUGGCAAUGGGCAAAGUCCCAGAGGUAUACAUCAUUUGGUGAUUGAUAAGAAAUAUUAAAGAGGAAAGUUGGAAAGAAGAACUGUCAGUGUGCCUCUAAGAACUACGCAAGGGAGCAGGGCCUUGUUUAGUUGGCAGAAUUGUUCUGCCCUCCUUAGCAGGCAUUAUGUCCCCAAAGCGCCACAGAUUGUCAAAAGUGCCCCCUUGAGAUUGUCCGACUCCUUUUAUCCCGACAUUGCACUUGCGAAGCAAUCUUUUCAUCAUUAUUUGGUUUCCCACAUAGGCUGUCCUCUAGGGAAGAGAAUGAGCUACCCAGCCUACAGUAAAACCCCAAUCUUCUUG